UACGUAGGUCCCGAGCGUUGUCCGGAUUUAUUGGGCGUAAAGCGAGCGCAGGUGGUUUAUUAAGUCUGGUGUAAAAGGCAGUGGCUCAACCAUUGUAUGCAUUGGAAACUGGUAGACUUGAGUGCAGGAGAGGCAAUCGGAAUUCCGUGUGUAGCGGUGAAAUGCGUAGAUAUACGGAGGAACACCAGUGGCGAAGGCGGAUUGCUGGACAGUAACUGACGCUGAGGCGCGAAAGCGUGGGGAGCAAACAGG
rnacentral:rRNA from 1 species